GGGAAACCUUAGCUAAUUUAAAAAACCCAAGCUAUUUAAAGUAUUUUAUAUAUUUAGAUUAAGUUAUAAUAAAAUGGAAUAUUCAAAUUUAAAAGUUGGUUAGCAAAAUAUAUUGCAAAGUCAAACUUGAGGAAAUCUUAACAGAUAAAAGGUAAGAGAUUAAUAUCCACAAAAUAUAAAGGAUUCUUAGGAGGUAGGAAGAAAUAAUCCAAAAGAAAAAUAGAUGAAGGAUAUCACAAGGCAGUUCAGAAAAAAAGCAAAUUCAAGUGGCCCAUAAACAUUAAAGGAUGCUUUAGUAGCCAGAGAAAUGCAUUCCAAAUACCUCAGAGCCUAAUACAUAGACAAAAAUUUAUAGAGAGAACUCCACAGUCCCACUAAGCAGGUAAAAGGGCAAGAAAUGGGUCAUAUAUUGCUGGUGGAAGUGUAGAUUGUAGAGCAUUUGGGUAAGCCAAAAUUUAAUAUGCUAUCUGCUAAUAUCUAUUAAAAUUCACAAUAUGUGUAUUUGACCCAGCAAUCCUACUCCUGCUAUCUACACUAAAGAAAUAAAAUGUUAUGUACCAAGAUUACUUACUGCCACACUAAAACAAAACAAAAAAUCAAAUUAAUUCCAUCAAUAGAAAUAAUAAUUGAAUAAAUUAUGAUUCCUGCAUACCAUAGAACUUAUGUGGUUCUUAAAAACAUUGGAUGUUUAAAGGUUGACUUACAGGAAAUCCCACAAGGUAUCUUAAGUGAACAAAGCAAAAUACAGAGAAAGAUGGUUAUGUGUGUAUAUGUGUGUGUUAUAUAAAUAUAUGAAUCUGGAAAAGGUAAUGAGGUAUACUUACCAGAUCAUUAUGAAUUACCUGGUGUGGUAUUAUAGGAAGGGAGUUAUGAGGAAGUGAAGGGGAUCCAAAAGUGAAAGAAGAAAAGCAAAGUACAGCAGUAGGAAGAAAAAAAAAGUGCAAAGGAACAUAGAAAGUCACCAUUUUCAGUAAUAGUAAAAAACAUUUGCUGGAAUAUAGAUU
rnacentral:lncRNA from 1 species